CUAACACAUGCAAGUCGAGCGGAUGAAGAGAGCUUGCUCUCUGAUUCAGCGGCGGACGGGUGAGUAAUGCCUAGGAAUCUGCCUGGUAGUGGGGGACAACGUCUCGAAAGGGACGCUAAUACCGCAUACGUCCUACGGGAGAAAGCAGGGGACCUUCGGGCCUUGCGCUAUCAGAUGAGCCUAGGUCGGAUUAGCUAGUUGGUGAGGUAAUGGCUCACCAAGGCGACGAUCCGUAACUGGUCUGAGAGGAUGAUCAGUCACACUGGAACUGAGACACGGUCCAGACUCCUACGGGAGGCAGCAGUGGGGAAUAUUGGACAAUGGGCGAAAGCCUGAUCCAGCCAUGCCGCGUGUGUGAAGAAGGUCUUCGGAUUGUAAAGCACUUUAAGUUGGGAGGAAGGGUUGUAGAUUAAUACUCUGCAAUUUUGACGUUACCGACAGAAUAAGCACCGGCUAACUCUGUGCCAGCAGCCGCGGUAAUACAGAGGGUGCAAGCGUUAAUCGGAAUUACUGGGCGUAAAGCGCGCGUAGGUGGUUUGUUAAGUUGGAUGUGAAAGCCCCGGGCUCAACCUGGGAACUGCAUUCAAAACUGACAAGCUAGAGUAUGGUAGA
rnacentral:rRNA from 1 species